CUAUCUGUGUCUGGUCAAUAGGAAUUUGUUUUUAGGAGUUUAGGAUCAGAAAAGUCUUCUUUCAGUAAAUUUACCGUUGGUAUCCAAUUCACGAUUGUACGAUUGAUUGUUUCCUGGUUUCUCAAUGUCUUAUGGCAAAUAUUUCAUGUAUGUUCAGGACGAGAGCAAAUGACCAAUAGAUAUGUCUUGUAAAAGAAGCAGUCCUGAAUUAAGGUCGGGUAAUUUAGACUGCCAAUUGAAAUGAGCGUAUAUUGAGAAUGAACAAAAAUUUUAAAUUUAAAAAACGGGUCAGUUACGAACCCACCC
rnacentral:lncRNA from 1 species